UUUUGUUUUAUACAUUUCGAUAUUUCGGAAACCAACAUAGAAAACACACUUCGUGGUAAUUACUUUUUCCUUUUAGAAUAUGUUUUUGGUGUCAGGAGAGUUUGAUUUUAUAACGGAAUUGGGGAACCCCUACAUAUACUGUAUCUUUCUUAUGACAAUAUGAGAUCAAAUUACAGAAGGAAACGUCAAUUGCUCACACAUUGUUUUAUGUUUGCUGCUUUUGGUUUUCACGGAACGCAAAGAAGAUGGGAUCACAUCUGAGCAACCAGUUCCUCUCCUCCCUGAGCAGCCACAGUAACAGUAGCAUCUUCGAUAAGCGAAUUCUCCAUCCAUCGCUUCAGCAUUUUCAAUGCAGCUUUUGGCUGGUCCAUUGGAACCAUGUGUCCUGCAUCUCGCACCUGUAUUUUCAUGUUUAAAUCACCAAACCUUUUGUUGUUGUUACUUACUAUGAGAUAACCAGCAGAACCAAAGAAAGACUGUUGUUAUUAUGUAAGAAAAGCCGACCUUGAGGAAACUGAGUUGUUCAUAAGUCUUUAACAAGCCUGCUUCUUUGCCAUCCACCAUAAAUGGAACUUGUUCAGCCGCCCCAAAGUUCGUUUUCCCUGACCACUCCAUUGCAUUCACCCACCUCGAGUUACCUGCUCCAAUUUUGUUUCACUCAACCGUUCAAUUCUAUCUAUUUCAUUAUCUUCAUGUCUGGAUUUGAUUAUCUAUGUUUUGGAACUUACCGAGCCAGUUGCAGAUCAGAUCAUAUUCUCCAGCAUACACAAGGAGGCUGAUUCCAUCUUCCAAGAGUGUGGGAAUUCCAACCUCGAGAUUCCUCAUCCAAUCUACAAGCAUUGCCUGAUAGACUGAAGUACUGCAGGAGACAAACUCUAUGUCCCCAACACCAAGCGACUUCCUCACAGAUUGCAGAUUCAAAAAUUUCUCCAUGUUUGAGAAAUCGUAGCACAAACUUCCCACGCACUUCUUCCUGAUGUCGUAAUACUACACAAGAAAAUGCGUUGUUACUCUUAUGAGUUAUCCCUUACUUCAAAUGCAGAAAUAUUAAACACAAUUUUUUUCUACAAGUGAGGAUAGAAAUGGUUUGCCAGAAAGAAUUUUAUCUAGCAAUUGCCCUGUGUUUGAUGCAAUAAAAUUGAACAGUUCUUUUGUACUUACGUUUACUCCACCAGCAUGACUCAUUACACCACUGAACAAGGAGUUGCAAACAAGAUAUGAUGCCAAACAAGAAGUUGUGCCAUCAGUUCCUGGAAAAACAAAAACAAGGAUUCAGGAUUCAUCAAACACAGGGCAAUUUUAAAGAUAAAUUGAUAAGGAAUAGAGGAGUAAGUACCACAAAGCUUAAUUGAUAAUUCACACAGUGGGACAAUCUUUUCUAAACGAUCAUGCUCUUUUUGCGUGAUUAAACCCAUUUCCAAAGCGUAGUCAGGAUAGGCUGGGUAUUGGAGUGCAGGAUCUGUAAGCCCAUUUCCAAUGGCGAAUCCCUGCAAGGUUAUACUUGUGAGCACUACAAACUUCCAUUAACACCUUAAGAGAGAAACAAGAAAUAGUCACAUGCCUUUAGGUUGAUAUGAACUCCCUCAUUAGCCUUGUUUCCUUUAUGGACUCGGGCAGCAAGAGCCGGAAUAUAAUGCCCAGCAUAUGACUCUCCAGUAAUGUAAAAGUCGUUUUUUGCCAACUUAGGGUGCUCUGCGAAGAAAGCCUGAGGUAAACAUCAGCAAACAUAAUCAAGAUCUUGUUACAGCUAAGCAAACAUAGGCAGAUUCCCAUUUUUUGAAACUCAAGAAAACGAAAACAGUCUAAGUGUCUAACAGAGGUGUUUAUCCAAUUCAUAGUUUGAAAGCAGAAAAGUGAAGAAGAAAAAGGAAUUGAAGAGAAGAUCCAGUGACCAAACCUGUAGAAAAUCAUAAAGAUCAUUGCUAACUCCAGUUUCGUCGUGACGGAUAUCACUUUUAUCUGUCGUGUAGCUGAAACCAGUUCCAACAGGCUGAUCAACAUAUAGAAGAUUGGAAACCUGCAAGACAAAUUCUCAAUCAACUCUCAUGUGCAAAAAUAGAGAGCAUUAAGGCGGUUUGGGAAAUCGUUAACAAGGAUUAUAAUAGAAAGUAAUUAUACCUGAUCCCAUCCAUACUCAUUCCAAGCAAGAGACAUGUUACUAGUGAUCUUGAAAGGACCGUUCUCAUAGAACAUAGCCAACUCACUGCUGCAUCCAGGCCCUCCCGUCAACCAAAUCACAACAGGAGCAUCCUUCUUGUUGCGUGAUUCGAAGAAGAAGUAGAACAUGCUAACACACACCAAGCGAACAAGUAAAAAACAAAGCAAAUCAACAGUACUUUGAGAUUCUAAUUAGAAAAAACGUCACCAAAAGUUCAAUGUUCAAAUCAAACUAAAACACAACCUAGUCAAGAGCUAGCUGCAAAUUGUAAACGAACCAUAACAAAUCAGAUGCUGAAUCUUCGCGAACACAAAUGUACAGAUGCAUAAACCAAAAUCUAGAGUUAGAUAUAAACCUUGCGCCACGAGAUUUUGGGAGCUUGUAAUAACCAGCAUGAUGACCUAAAUCUU
rnacentral:lncRNA from 1 species